rnacentral:rRNA from 1 species
GGGAAACUGCCCGAUGGAGGGGGAUAACUACUGGAAACGGUAGCUAAUACCGCAUAACGUCGCAAGACCAAAGUGGGGGACCUUCGGGCCUCACACCAUCGGAUGUGCCCAGAUGGGAUUAGCUAGUAGGUGGGGUAAUGGCUCACCUAGGCGACGAUCCCUAGCUGGUCUGAGAGGAUGACCAGCCACACUGGAACUGAGACACGGUCCAGACUCCUACGGGAGGCAGCAGUGGGGAAUAUUGCACAAUGGGCGCAAGCCUGAUGCAGCCAUGCCGCGUGUAUGAAGAAGGCCUUCGGGUUGUAAAGUACUUUCAGCGGGGAGGAAGGCGGUGAAGUUAAUAGCUUCACCGAUUGACGUUACCCGCAGAAGAAGCACCGGCUAACUCCGUGCCAGCAGCCGCGGUAAUACGGAGGGUGCAAGCGUUAAUCGGAAUUACUGGGCGUAAAGCGCACGCAGGCGGUCUGUCAAGUCGGAUGUGAAAUCCCCGGGCUUAACCUGGGAACUGCAUUCGAAACUGGCAGGCUAGAGUCUUGUAGAGGGGGGUAGAAUUCCAGGC